rnacentral:sRNA from 12 species
CAUGAUGAGACUACAUUGGUCUUGGAUUGUAUAGAGGGUAGUCGCGGUCGCCCCAACUCCGACUCUUGCAUAGUAUACUGUGCUAGAGUAAGGUGAGAAACAACUUUGGUUGGAAACUUUAAUUUUGUUAAGAAAUUAAAGAACCGU